UACGGAAGGCAGCAGUGGGGAAUAUUGCACAAUGGGCGAAAGCCUGAUGCAGCUAUGCCGCGUGUAUGAAGAAGGCCUUAGGGUUGUAAAGUACUUUCAUCGGGGAGGAAAAACAAAACUAAUAAUUUUAUUUCUUGACGUUACCCGAAAAAGAAGCACCGGCUAACUCCGUGCCAGCAGCCGCGGUAAUACGGAGGGUGCUAGCGUUAAUCAGAAUUACUGGGCGUAAAGAGCACGUAGGUGGUUUUUUUAAGUCAGAUGUGAAAUCCCUGGGCUUAACCUAGGAACUGCAUUUUGAAACUGAAAUACUAGAGUAUCGUAGAGGGAGGUAGAAUUCUAGGUGUAGCGGUAAAUGCGUAGAUAUCUGGAGGAAUACCUGUGGCGAAAGCGGCCUCCUAAACGAAUACUGACACUGAGGGUGCGAAAGCGUGGGGAGCAAACAGGGAUUAGAUACC
rnacentral:rRNA from 1 species